ACCUGGUGUGGUGGCAAGUGUCUGUAGUCUCAGCUACGCGGGAGGCUUAGGUGGGAGGACUGCUUGAGCCCGGGAGGACUGCUUGAGCCCAGGAGUCCUGGGCUGCAUGCGUUAUGCCGAUCGGGUGUCCGCACUAAGUUUGGCAUCAAUAUGCUGACCUCCCGGGAAUGGGGGACCACCAGGUUGCCUAAGAAGGGGUGAACUGGUCCAGGUUGGAAAUGGAGCAGGUGGAAAUUCCUGUACUGAUCAGCAGUGGGAUCAUGCCCGCGAAGAGCCACUGAACUCUAGCCUGGGCAAUAUAGUAAGACCCCAUCUCUU
rfam:Homo sapiens chromosome 20, GRCh38 reference primary assembly.